GCCGGGCCGGGCCGGCCGGGCUGGGCCGGUCGGUUCGGGUCGGGCCGGUCGGGCCGGUCGGUCGGUUCGAGCCGAGCCGGGUC
rnacentral:tRNA from 1 species